GAAGGAGGUCUCUACUCUCUAUAGACUAGGGGUCUCUCCAGAAGGAGGUCUCUACUCUCUACACAAGGAGAGCUCUACUCUCUAUAGACUAUGGGUCUCUCCAGAAGGAGGUCUCUACUCUCUAUAGACUAGGGCUCUCUACAGAAGGAGGUCUCUACUCUCUAUAGACUAGGGCUCUCUCCAGAAGGAGGUCUCUACUCUCUAUAGACUAGGGCUCUCUACAGAAUGAGGUCUCUACUCUCUAUAGACUAGGGGUCUCUACAGAAGGAGGUCUCUACUCUCUAUAGACUAGGGCUCUCUACAGAAGGUCUUUACCCUCUACACAAGGAGAGCUCUACUCUCUAUAGACUAGGGCUCUCUACAGAAGGAGGUCUCUGCUCUCUAUAGAAGUAGGUCUGUACUCUCUAUAGACUAGGGGUCUCUACAGAAGGAGGUCUCUACUCUCUAUAGACUAGGGGUCUCUCCAGAAGGAGGUCUCUACUCUCUAUAGACUAGGGGUCUCUACAGAAGGAGGUCUCUACUCUCUAUAGACUAGGGGUCUCCACUAGGGGUCUUGGCUGACGGCUGGCGUAGAGGGAGGGGGUAGAGUGUGCUGCAGUAACCGUGGCGAUAGCAGGCAGAAGUGACAGCUGCAGGUGUGGACAGACAUAGGGCUGGAGAGAGGGAGCAACAGGCAGAACGAACGGCAACUGUUGGCCUAAUGCCUGGGGAUAAAUAAUAAACCAACUGUGAGAUAAGCACUGUUCUUCAGCAGGGGGAGAAAAGGCUGCUAGAAAGGGGGGGAAAUGCAUGACUUUUAAAUCCCGGCACCCGCAGUUUGGCACAGAAGAUUAGGCUCUGAAGUUUAAUUAAGCAGAUGUCGCCAUUAAUAUUUCAACUUCUGAGCAACCUGAUAUUGGACUGCGUGGUGAUGUCAUAUGCACAGGCAUCAGUACAUAAGCUGGAGAGCAAAAUGGUUUCUCUGGUUGGAUCAGUGUCUGCUCAUCUGGAGGUACGGAGUUGGUGGACUGUGGAGAGGAACCCAUUCAGAGGGCAUCACGAUGGACUCCUCCAGAGGGGGACCCCUCCAAGAUGAGCCAAAGACUCAUAGAAGUGUCGUAGUGUCAUACCACUUUGUAUUGAACAUAUCCCCACAGUGGCAUUCAUGAAAUAGAGUAUCAUAAAUACUCAUACUUGCUCAAACAUGGUUUCAGAAUGUAACACAGUGAUGUCUAGAGUUGGGGUUAAAGUUACAGCAAAUGGCUGUCCUGUCUACUACACAUCCCAUAUCAGCACCCUCUGCUGUUGUCACUGUGGGAGCUACAUGUUCAAACAGUACAUGCCACCAAAAUUCCAUCAGCAUGCAACAUUCAAACUUAUCAUCAUUUUUCUGCAGUGUCGCCGGAAUAUUUGAGGCUCCGUGUCCCUGUUGCUACCCUAGACCCUUUGGGCGGCCCUUCUCAGAGCCUUUUCCUGGGCUGUAAUGCCAGGCAUCCUGCUCUGUCAGCAGGGUAACCCUAUCUACCGCUGUGUGUGUGUGUGUGUGUGUGUGUGUGUGUGUGUGUGUGUGUGUGUGUGUGUGUGUGUGUGUGUGUGUGUGUGUGUGUGUGUGUGUGUG
rnacentral:lncRNA from 1 species